rnacentral:rRNA from 1 species
UACGUAGGUGGCAAGCGUUGUCCGGAUUUACUGGGCGUAAAGAGCGCGCAGGCGGUCGUUCAAGUCGCGUGUGAAAGCCCCCGGCUCAACUGGGGAGGGUCACGCGAUACUGAUCGACUCGAAGGCAGGAGAGGGAAGUGGAAUUCCCGGUGUAGUGGUGAAAUGCGUAGAUAUCAGGAGGAACACCGAUGGCGAAGGCAGCUCGCUGGGACGGUACUGACGCUGAGGCGCGAAAGCGUGGGGAGCAAACAGG